rnacentral:rRNA from 1 species
GAAAAGUACAACCCUGAACGGUGGAUCACUCGGCUCGUGGGUCGAUGAAGAACGCAGCAAAUUGCGCGUCGACAUGUGAACUGCAGGACACAUGAACAUCGACAUUUCGAACGCACAUUGCGGUCCAUGGAUUCCGUUCCCGGACCACGCCUGGCUGAGGGUCGGUAGCUAAAA